UUAUUAGUACAGGAAAUGACAUGGAAAACGGAAGAAAGCGGCGUUUGGGGCAGACGCGGACCCCCCAAUUCAGGGGCCGGAGCCGGGACUCACCAGCCGCGUCCCGACCCGGCCCCGGAGAAAACUCCCGGGGCCCCUUAGGCCCGCGCCCUGCCCGGAGGGGGGAACCCGGCUCUCCAAACCCAAAGGGAGAGGGAGCGUUUUAUAAUCCAGCCCGUGGAGAAAUCGAGAAAAAAAUAGAUGAAAAAAAGAAAAGGUUAAGAGAGAACUUUCGAACUGGGAUACUUUUUUGGGGUCAGAAGUAAAAGUUCUCAAAUUUUAAUAAAGUCAUUGUGAGGGGGGCUCCCUGGCUCUCCCGGUCGCGUGGCUGUCCAUUUGGAACCAAAUAGUCGGGGGGAGUCGACGCGUUUGGAUUUUUAACCCUUUCAGGGCUCCGCGGCUGGCCCCCUCCCGGUCCCAUUUAACCCUUUGAAUGCUCAGCAGUUUGGAGAUACAAACUGAAGUUGCGAGACGCAGGCGUCCCGCGAAGGCUGAGGCAUCUGAUUCCCCUUCCAGUGGCUGGAGAACAUCCCACCUUCUGAGCCUUGGGGAGAAGCAGAGUGUGCCCUUUCCCUGCCCACUGGAGAAGCUGAAACAACAAAAACUCCCUUCCCUGGCCUCCCUGCAGGAGACUCCAGGAAGACUCCUGAAUGCCACACACUCCUAAACCUGAGAGACCUUCAUGCAGAUUGGGGAGCAGCUUUAGGACUGCUGGGUGGAGCCACAAUGAGACAGAUAAGCUCCAGGAAAAUAAGAAGUGCCGAAACAAUGGAGCCACCCAACAAAAAGGGCUGCCACUGCAAGUGGUGAGCUUCCUGUUACUGGAGUAAGUCAAAGAUGGUGUCGAAAAUGGUGAAAUCAAGAACUAGUGCUUAGAAUUAUGGAGAUUUAAAAACAGAAGAGACACCUCCCAGAGUUGCAAGUGGUCGCCUGUCCCAGAGAGCUGGUGAGAUGAGGUGGGGAGGUGGCAGCUGAGUUUUAUGGUGAGAAAGUGGAGUUCGAAGAUGUCAUCAGCCCAGGUCACACAGAUGGUGGAGACCAGUGUGGAGCCCGGGAGUGGGCUGAGCAGAGCAUCUGGACUUUGAGCUUCCAUCAGACCCUGAGAUAGUCACCUGUCCUGGCUGCCUGGUGACCCUGGUGUGCUAACGUGGCACUUAUCUUGCUCUAUGGAGGCCCCUGGGCCCCCUAAACACCAGAACCCAGUUGCUGUGCUAAAAAGAACUCACAGACCACGUGGAGUGGAGCAGAUGGGUCAGUGUCCCAGGUGGCAGCCCGUGUCGGCCUCAGACCUGCACGUGAGGAUGCCCACCAGAGGGUUCCUGCCACCACCGUCAAGUCACCCCAGCCUUAAUCUUCCAGCCGGCGCCUCAGGCAUUAUGGGCAGAGGUAAACUGUCUCCAUGAUGCCCUUUCCAAAUUUCUGACCCACAGAAUCCAUGGCUAUAAUAAAAUGGCUGUCUUAUGUGCUCAAUUUUGGGGUGGUUUGUAGCAUAGCAGUAUAACUAGAACAUCUAGCUCGUGAGAGAACCAGCAAAGAAAGCAAAAAUCACCCCAGCCUAUAAAGGGCCCUGAGGGUGGUGGGACCCAUGGGUGACAGGAAACCAAUCCCUGCACCCCAAGAGGUGGCAGGGCCUCCAAC
rnacentral:lncRNA from 10 species